ensembl:misc_RNA 7SK 7SK RNA
AGAUACGAGGGUGAUCUGGCUGCACCACAUUGAUUUCCAGGGUUGACUUGGCCAAUCUGGCUGCCUAGGCAGGUGUCCCCUUCACCACUCCAUGUGUAUACCUCCCAAAGCUGUUUUCUCAGGUGAAGAGGUGACCUUUCCUGAUAGAGGAGGAGCAUUCUUUUUGGGUCAAGGGUAUAUGAGUAGCUCUGCUGCCCUGCUAGAACCUCCAAACAAGCUCUCAAGGUCCAUUUGUAGAAGAACUUAGGGUUGAAUUUCCAAGAUUCCAGAUAUAUCCAAAUGAGGUGCUGCGUGAGGCAGUCUGCCUUCCCUA